rnacentral:rRNA from 1 species
GGGACCCGCACAAGCGGUGGAGCAUGUGGUUUAAUUCGAAGCAACGCGAAGAACCUUACCAAAUCUUGACAUCCUUUGACCGCUCUAGAGAUAGAGUCUUCCCCUUCGGGGGACAAAGUGACAGGUGGUGCAUGGUUGUCGUCAGCUCGUGUCGUGAGAUGUUGGGUUAAGUCCCGCAACGAGCGCAACCCUUAAGCUUAGUUGCCAGCAUUAAGUUGGGCACUCUAAGUUGACUGCCGGUGACAAACCGGAGGAAGGUGGGGAUGACGUCAAAUCAUCAUGCCCCUUAUGAUUUGGGCUACACACGUGCUACAAUGGACAGUACAAAGGGCAGCGAAACCGCGAGGUCAAGCAAAUCCCAUAAAGCUGUUCUCAGUUCGGAUUGUAGUCUGCAACUCGACUACAUGAAGCUGGAAUCGCUAGUAAUCGUAGAUCAGCAUGCUACGGUGAAUACGUUCCCGGGUCUUGUACACACCGCCCGUCACACCACGAGAGUUCGUAACACCCGAAGCCGGUGGAGUAACCUUUUAGGAGCUAGCCGUCGAAGGUGGGACGAAUGAUUAGAGGGUGAAGUCGUAACAAGGUAGCCGUAUCAGAAGC